AUUUCUAUGAGGAAAUUGGGAUGAAGGACCCCCCCCUUGACCCCCUUUUCUGUCUGGAAAUACUCUCUUCUAUGGGGCCCCUAUUUCUGGGGGACCCCAUUUAGGACCCCCCAAACCCCCAUUUCUGUGUGUUCUUUUCUAUGGGACCCCCCCCAUCUUCCCAAAACCCCCAUUAUGGGGGGGGGGGGGGGGGAGUUGAGUCACAACCCCAUAUGAGUCACAGCCCCACACAUGGCACGAAGGGGAAGAGAAGGGAAUUUCCCAUAUCCAGUCACGUAUUUUCUCCUUUUUUAAGGUGUUUUAACUCAAAUCUGGGGUGAUAUUUCCCCCUUAAAAUCACAUUUCUCCUCAUUUUGGGACAUUUACCCCCAAACUAGAGCAGGAUCCCCACCUGGAUUCUCUUUUUCCCAUAUUUUAGGCUUUUUAACCCAAAAUUAAGGCACUUUUCCCCUCCCCGCCCUCCAAAUAAUACCCAAUUUUAGGGUUUUUCAACCUAAAACUGGAGCUGCAUAGAUUUAUUACAUUUUCCCUCAUUUUAGGGCUUUUCACUCCAAAUUGAAGCAGUAUUUUGGGGUCGCCGUAAGAACCCCUGGAAAUAUAACCCAAAAUGGGGGAUUUUCCCCAUAAAAUCACAUUUUGUCACUCAAGUGAUGAUAAUUUGCCUCUUUUUGGGUUUUUUUAACCCAAAAUUAGGCUGGUAUAUAAGUAUAUUCCCCCUCAGGGUAUUAUUAACCCAUUAACCCUCAUGGAAGCAACCCAAAAUUGGGGUAUUUCCCACCAAACUAUUACAUUUGUCCUCUCAAGGAUGAUAUUUUCCUUCAUUUUAGGUGUUUUUAACCCAAAAUUUAGGCAGCAUCACUCCCUACAGCUCUGGGCUUAUUAACCCAUUAACCCCAGCAGCUAAUUAGGCUUUGCAUUCAGAUGGGCCCCCUCUAUACAGGCAUUGAUAAUCACUUAAAAGGGGGGGGGAUGCUCCCUGAUAAUGCUGUUUUCUCUCAUUCUAAGCCUUUUUACCCCAAAAAAAGCCAUAUAUGAACCCUUUAUCACCCCCCUUUCCAGGUACGACGGCCGCCCCCAACAGAAGAAGCCAGCCCGGCCGCGCGGCUCCUACUGGUGUUGUUGGCUGUGGUCGGUGUUCAGGUGUACAGCGCGCCAACGGACGCGGUGA
rnacentral:lncRNA from 1 species